rnacentral:rRNA from 1 species
UACAGAGGGUGCAAACGUUGCUCGGAAUUAUUGCGCGUAAAGCGCGUGUAGGCGGCCUGUUAAGUUGGUUGUGAAAACCCAUGGCUCAACCAUGGAAGUGCGUCCAAAACUGGCAGGCUAGAGUUCUGACGAGGAUGGCGGAAUUCCCAGUGUAGAGGUGAAAUUCGUAGAUAUUGGGAGGAACACCGGUGGCGAAGGCGGCCAUCUGGGAAGAUACUGACGCUGAGACGCGAAAGCGUGGGGAGCAAACAGG